GACGAACGCUGGCGGCGUGCUUAACACAUGCAAGUCGAGCGGAAAGGCCCUUCGGGGUACUCGAGUGGCGAACGGGUGAGUAACACGUGAGUAACCUGCCCCAGGCUUUGGGAUAACCCUCGGAAACGGGGGCUAAUACCGAAUAUGACUUCCGGCCGCAUGGUUGGGGGUGGAAAGUUUUUCGGCUUGGGAUGGGCUCGCGGCCUAUCAGCUUGUUGGUGGGGUGAUGGCCUACCAAGGCGACGACGGGUAGCCGGCCCGAGAGGGCGACCGGCCACACUGGGACUGAGACACGGCCCAGACUCCUACGGGAGGCAGCAGUGGGGAAUAUUGCACAAUGGGCGGAAGCCUGAUGCAGCGACGCCGCGUGAGGGAUGACGGCCUUCGGGUUGUAAACCUCUUUCAGCAGGGGCGAAGCGUAAGCGACGGUACCUGAAGAAUAAGCACCGGCUAACUACGUGCCAGCAGCCGCCGUAA
rnacentral:rRNA from 1 species